rfam:Dipodomys ordii contig_15226, whole genome shotgun sequence.
GGUGGCUCAGUGGUAGAGUGCUUGCCUUGCACGCAUGAAGCCCUGGGUUCAAUUCCUCAGCACCA